CGCAGCGUAGCUCAAUUGGAUAGAGCGCCCGGUUUCGACAGCCGCCUCUGAUUCGCGGUCUGGACGGCUGACUGGGGAGAUGGAGGUUCGAGUCCUCCCGCUGCGCCCA
rnacentral:tRNA from 1 species